UACGUAGGUGGCGAGCGUUGUCCGGAUUUACUGGGCGUAAAGAGUGCGUAGGCGGAUGUUUAAGUGAGAUGUGAAAUACCCGAGCUCAACUUGGGUGCUGCAUUUCAAACUGGGCAUCUAGAGUGCAGGAGAGGAAAGCGGAAUUCCUAGUGUAGCGGUGAAAUGCGUAGAGAUUAGGAAGAACACCAGUGGCGAAGGCGGCUUUCUGGACUGUAACUGACGCUGAGGCACGAAAGCGUGGGGAGCAAACAGGAUUAGAUACCCUGGUAGUCCACGCCGUAAACGAUGGGUACUAGGUGUCGGGGGUCCAACCUCGGUGCCGCAGUAAACACAUUAAGUACCCCGCCUGGGGAGUACGGUCGCAAGAUUAAA
rnacentral:rRNA from 1 species